GUAGCCUAGUGGUUAGAGUGUAGUGGCGGCAGGGUUAGCCUAGUGGUUAGAGUGUAGGGCGGCAGGUAGCCUAGUGGUUAGAGUGUAUGGGCGGCAGGUAGCCUAGUGGUUAGAGUGUAGUGGCGGCAGGUAGCCUAGUGGUUAGAGUGUAUGGGCGGCAGGUAGCCUAGUGGUUAGAGUGUAGGGGCGGCAGGUAGCCUAGUGGUUAGAGUGUAGGAGCGGCAGGUAGCCUAGUGGUUAGUGUGUAUGGGCGGCAGGUAGCCUAGUGGUUAGAGUGUAGUGGCGGCAGGUAGCCUAGUGGUUAGAUUGUAUGGGCGGCAGGUAGCCUAGUGGUUAGAGUGUAGGGGCGGCAGGUAGCCUAGUGGUUAGAGUGUAGGGGCGGCAGGUAGCCUAGUGGUUAGAGUGUGGGGGGGCAGGUAGCCUAGUGGUUAGAGUGUAGGGGCGGUAGGUAGCCUAGUGGUUAGAGUGUAUGGGCGGCAGGUAGCCUAGUGGUUAGAGUGUAGAGGCGGCAGGUAGCCUAGUGGUUCGAGCGCUGCGCCAGUAACUGAAAUGUUGCUGGAUUAAACAAGUUCUGCCCCUGAACAAGGCAGUUAAUCCACUGUUUCCUGUUAGGCCGUCAUUGUAAAUAAGAAUUUGUUCUUAACUGACUUGCCUAGUUCAAUAAAGGUUAAAUAAAAUUAAAUAAAAGUCAAUCCUGAGCCAUAUAUUAAAUACAUUUAAUGAGCCCAGGCCCAAAAAUCCUUUUAACAAAUACAUAUAUGAUGUAGGCUACUGCACAACAGAAAAACAGAAAAGCCCAUAGAUGUAGUUUACCAUAUGCUCUCUUGGGUAAAUAAAUAAACCUAGCUCCAGUAGGCUAAUCUUUUUUUAGUGUGAACUGUAUUACUGUACUGUAUUAUACUGUAUUAUAUGGACUGGAAUUAUGGACUGGAAUUAUGGACUGGAAUUAUGGACUGGAAUUAUGCACUGGAAUUAUGGACUGGAAUUAUGCACUGGAAUUAUGGACUGGAAUUAUGCACUGGAAUUAUGGACUGGAAUUGUGGACUGGAAUUAUGGACUGGAAUUAUGGACUGGAAUUAUGCACUGGAAUUAUGCACUGGAAUUAUGCACUGGAAUUAUGGACUGGAAUUAUGCAUUGGAAUUAUGGACUGGAAUUAUGCACUGGAAUUAUGGACUGGAAUUAUGCACUGGAAUUAUGUACUGGAAUUAUGGACUGGAAUUAUGCACUGGAAUUAUGCACUGGAAUUAUGCACAUAGUUAAAACCAUGAUAAACCAGGGAGACAUAAGAUUCUGGUGCAUAUGUCCUACAGGUGCAUAUGUCGUACAGGUGCAUAUGUCGUACAGGUGCAAGAAUAGGCUCCCAAAUUUGAUUUUAAUUUUGAAAUAUAAUAGGGCCUAUUUGUAUCAUUAGUAGGAUGACCUUUCCUAGUGUUUCCUCAGGUGUUAUUAGCCUUCCUCCUCUUUCUCUCUCUAUUGUUCCUUCUUCACUUUCAACAGUUAAAUGAAAUAUGUUUCGUUGUCCGUAUGUUCAUCCUUCUAAUGACAUCCUUGAAUAAUAUUAUAGGACUACAGUUAGAUGCAGAAGGCCUUCGCUUCUGUUCACCAAGAUUGAAUGGUUAUGAGUCUGAAUAAAUACUAACUACUAUAGCCUACCGCCAUCACGCAUUCUCUCUUCUUUCCAACUAUCCGUGAGUUCUAUUGGCUGCUAUUGGUAAAAGAAAAUGCACAAAAAAAAAUACAAAUAACGUCCAGCAAGCUAGUUCUAGUCUAAGCUUUUCCUGCAUGGGACUUCAAGAGCUAAGGAUGUUUUUUAAAAGGAGAGGCCAGUGGAGCACAGGUGUUUGUGUAUUUCACAAGAGACAGAGGCUAUACAUUAGAUGUUUAUUAUGCAUAAUCCAUCAUUAAUUAGCUAAAUAUAAGUCUAAUACUGCGUUGAAUGUAUUACCUGAAAGAGGAAGGCUCUAGGACAUCUAUAUAUAGGGCUAUAUAUCAAAUAGAAUAGGAUUAUUU
ensembl:lncRNA